AAAGAUCACCAUUAUCAUACAGGAACACCUUCUGACCAUCAUCAGUUUUCUGGGAAACUUUCUUCCAGAUAAACUGUGUUAACCGAAUGUUCUCCUUGGUGAUGAGGGAACAGGGUAAAGUAACAUCACUG